AGGAAGCCAGUGAUGAAGCUGAGGAC
rnacentral:piRNA from 1 species